rnacentral:lncRNA from 1 species
CUUGUAGUUGGGAAAGUGUUGCCUCUUCGGUUUUCGAACAAGCAAUCCUAUCAGGGAUCUGGCUCUCUCGAGAUUCGGAGAACGAUGUCUCUUCGAUUUUUGAGAAAGCAAUCCUGCUGGGGGUCUGGCUCUCGAGAUUCGGAGAGCGGUAUCUCUUCGAUUUUUGAGAAGGUAAUCAUGUUGGGAGUCUGGCUCUCGAGAUUCGGAGGGCGGUGCCUCUUCGAUUUUGGAGCAAGCAAUCUUGUUGGGAGUGUUUUCUCGAAUGUGAGUAAAGGUUGGGCAUGUUUGCUAGUCUACCUUGCCACGAAGCACAGAGGUUGACACACAGGGACUUUCCAAUUAUCCAGCAAUGGUACUGUUCCUUUACCCUCUCUUCGAUUUUUGAGAAAGUAGUCAUGCUGGGAGUCUGGCUCUCGAGAUUCGGAGGACGGUGCCUCUUCGAUUUUGGAGCAAGCAAUCUUGUUGGGAGUGUUUUCUCGAAUGUGAGUAAAGGUUGGGCAUGUUUGCUAGUCUACCUUGCCACGAAGCACAGAGGUUGACACACAGGGACUUUCCAAUUAUCCAGCA